rnacentral:tRNA from 1 species
GGGCCGGUAGCUUAGCUUGGUAGAGCGCUUGACUUUUAAUCAAGCGGUCAAGGGUUCGAAUAGCCCAAGUACGCUGGGCGAACGUGUUUCAAGUGAGGUUUCGUUUCACGCAACCUCACGACAAGCGCAAACCAGUGGAAAGGUCCGAAAGUCCCUUCCGGCCCG